GUUGAAAAUGUCAGUAUUUAUGUUGCUUAUGGAGUACUUUUCUAUAAAGCACUUAAAAUAGGUUUAAUUUUAUAAUUUUCAGUAAUUAAAUAUUCCUUAGCCUUUUAGGGAAGAAGUGUACUAGUAAUUAAGGUUUUAUUUUAAAAAGGGGGGCUUAAAGGAAAUCUAAUUGAUUCUUUUUUUUAAUAUUAGUUGUAGAUGGACACAAUAUUUUAUUUACUUAUUUUUAUGUGGUGCUGAGGAUCAAACCCAGUGCCUCACGCAUGCAAGGCAAGAGCUCUAUCACUGAGCUACAACCCCAGCCUUCUAAUUGAUUCUUUAACACUUAUCUGUUUCUUUAAACUCCUAUCAUCACCAUCAGUAUAUCACUUAUCUGAAAAAUACUUUUCUCUGCCAGCAUCCGUAUUUUUUAAUUAUUCCUUGAGAGUUGAACAGUUAAACUUGGUAUCUUGAGAUUAUGGUUUGGUUUGAUCUUUUUUUAGGUGUAGAUGGACACAACACAAUGCCUUUAUUUUUAUGUGGUGCUGAGGAUUGAACCCAGGUCCCACCUGUGCAAGGCGAGCGCUGUACCACUGAGCCACAAUCCCAGCCCCUUAUUUACUUAUUUUUUUAUAUGGUGCCAAGGAUCAAACCCAGUGCCUCACGUGCUGGGUAAGUGCUCUACCACUAAGCCACAACCUCAGACUUCUUUUUUAUUUUGUGACAGGUUCUCACUAAGUUACUCAUGCUAACCUUAAACGUGAUAUCCUCCUACCUCAGUCUCCCGAGUGGGUGAAAUUACAGUUGUGUGCUACCACUCCCAGCUGCUUGUUUGUUUAAUAUUAUUGUUGUUUUUGUAGUGCCGAGGAUCAAAUCCAGAGAAUUUUGCAAGCAAGACAAACACUCUUAGCUGGUAUU
rnacentral:lncRNA from 1 species